rnacentral:lncRNA from 1 species
UGUUUCGCUGUUUUACGUCAUGCCCGCUAACAAAUUGAAACUUAUUUUUAGUCCAGAUUUUUAGUAUUCGUAUUGUUAUCUUAGAAAGUCUUACGGAUUAAAAUACUACAAUAGUACAAUUUGACAAUUUAGUAGUGUCAACCCUGUGAUUAUGACCUGUUUAUAUAGCAUAUUAAUCCUGAAUACAUCGUUUGGUGGUGCUCCUGUCAGAUGCGGAACGUACAGAUAAGGUAAUAGGUAACAGGUGAUUAUACUAUUGGUAUCGAUAUCGGACUCGACCCG